GCAACCUCCUGGAAAUCUGAAUUGACAUUACAAGCAUAGUUCAGAGGUGCCAAGAGUCUAUGCCCCGAGACCAUGCAACUGUGUCCAUUCACUUAAACAAUGAUGUCAAGAAAGCCUGUUUGCGACUCAAACAUCCGCUGCUGUGACA